rnacentral:piRNA from 1 species
ACCUCACGAGAUCAAAGGACUUCU